rnacentral:rRNA from 1 species
UGAGGAAUAUUGGGUCAAUGGACGCAAGUCUGAACCAGCCAAGUCGCGUGCAGGAAUAAGGCCCUAUGGGUCGCAGACUGCUUUUGCAUGAGAAUAAAAAGUGGGACAAGUCCCACCCUGUAGGUAUCAUGCGAAUAAGGAUCGGCUAACUCCGUGCCAGCAGCCGCGGUAAUACGGAGGAUCCGAGCGUUAUCCGGAUUUAUUGGGUUUAAAGGGAGCGUAGGCCGUCUGUUAAGCGUGUUGUGAAAUGUCGGGGCUCAACCUGGGCAUUGCAGCGCGAACUGGCAGACUUGAGUGCGCAGGAAGUAGGCGGAAUUCGUCGUGUAGCGGUGAAAUGCUUAGAUAUGACGAAGAACUCCGAUUGCGAAGGCAGCCUGCUGUAGCGUAACUGACGCUGAAGCUCGAAAGCGUGGGUAUCGAACAGGAUUAGAUACCCUGGUAGU